AAAUGUGUUUAAGCUGGAAAGAAUGCCAAAAAGAUUUAUGAAGAUGUUGCCAGGACUGCAGGGCCUGAGAGGUUGGCCUGGCUGGCUCUUUAUUUCUCAGAGUGUCAGAGAACGAGGUGUAAUUUUUGAUAUUGUGAGAGUUGUAGACAGGGUGAAUUCUGCCAUGGGCGGUCCCAAGCCUGGCUGAGAAAGUGGGGGAGGGCUGGGCACAAGGCUAGCAACUCCAUUCCUGUAAAAAAAAACCCAGAGCUGCAGAAGUGCCAAAUGAAGUUCUGAGACCCUCAUCCCUGGGAGGGGAAGAGUAGAAGAUGUACAACUAAAAAGACUUGAAAGACCAGCCCAGGACAGAGGAUUCUGAUGAGCUGCUGUCGGUGGCCUGGGCCCCAGUAGAGGCAUCUCCUUCCCGCCACCCACCACUCUCUGUGCGUUUGGAGAAUUUUGUGAUGAAAAGGAUAAAUUGGCCUUUAAUGGCCUCUCAAAGCAGGGCGAACUGGCCUCUGAAGUGGAAAGAACAACAGAACCUUAAAAGGAAGAGGGAGUGGAUAUCUGGCGGAGGACAUGAGGAGCCUGCUGCACGGACAUCUAGAUACAGCAGAGAACAGGCACUUCUGCCCUUUGAGCUGCGCACCAGCGACCCACCAGCUCAACCCUAGUCUAAUCACAGGACAACUUGCAAUGAGCAUUUACCCUACUAAAUGGUGCAUUUUGGACCGUGGGGGGAAACCCGAACACCCAGGACAAGCCCACACAUUUGUCACUUUCUUCUCCACUAGGUGUCACAAACUCAAUACCAACACUGAGAAAAUUGUAUUUUCCAUUACUCGGUUCUCUUUAAAAACCAAAGUGUUUGUGUGAGCAUCCUUCCUUUUAUUACAAGUGUACAAUGUACUGUCUAUGUUAAUCAAAAUGGCUUCUUUGGUUUGCUAGAGUAGGAAUGCUUUUAUGUUUGAUAAAUGUUUUCUCUCACAGUUGUUUAGCUUUGGACUUGCUGAUAUGGGGGGAUUGUAUUCAUUUUUUAACCAAUGGGGAAUGUUAUUUUGUUGUCUUGUGAGGCUGGGAAAUUGGGGGUUUCGCGGUCUUUUCAGGGAAGGCAGGAAAGAGACACCAAGGAAGGUGGACAUGUGCUGCACUGCUCGGUCGACCACUGGGGUGGUCCCAGGUGCGAGGACGUGGAGGUCAGAGGGAAGUGACGAGGGGUCGAAUGGUUCGAUGGUUGAGCUCCAACGAUGUGCACUAAACUGACUGAACUUUAAUAAGCUGACGCCUUUUACUUUAUUUUCUUUUAGUUCAUAUAUAUUGUAUAAUAUAAUUCUCUUUUAGUUUUAGUAAAAUCUUUAAAGUGUAUUCCAUAUCGGUAUUUGGUGUGAGUUUGAUAUUGUGUGUGUAACCAUGGCAUAAACUUGAAUCUCACAGUACCUACGUGUACAGGAGGUGGGGUUGGUGAGUUGUUGGAUCUCCUUUUCCCCUAGACAUAUACCAGCCUGUUGGGUAAGUGUUACAUUUGUGGGGGCUCAUCCGGGAUCUCUCUCGGAAUGGGGUCCUACCAGCCCAUCCGGAAUAGAGGCGUGGGCACCCAGUGGUCCCCUGGUCCCGGACGAAGAAUUUAGCUCAGAUGAGAUUAUCACUCCACUUGUCUUCUGAAGAAAUCUUUAUCAAGCAACUUUAUUACUUGCAAGGGGAGAGCCACUUCCACUUCCAUUAGGGAUGGAGGAGACUUGGCACACACUGUUUACAUUCCUUUUAUAUAAGAAUGAGACAGGAUUACUACUUCCAGCGAACUCUGUAGUUUGCCAUCUGCAGUUGUCUCAUCUCUGCUACUUCCUUACUCUUGCACAAUGUUCAGUCCAUUGAGUGCUUGUUGUCCCCUAUUCCCUCAGUAAACACACUUCUUGUAGUCUCAUCUAGAAACUUUAGUCACUCACAUAUAUUGCAACGUAAUAGCUUAGCACCCUGCCUUUUCACCGCUGAUGGGAUUCCUCUGCUACUGGAGGAGGAGCUGUGCGGCGGCUCGGAGGGUAAGCCUCCACAUUCGAGUGGUGUCUCUCUCUUUCGAUGAUGUUGGAGGAUUUUACCAAGGCUCUGCCUUUAUGGUUUGGACUAAUGCAUUUCUGGACAGUGGAUUAUUCCAGUCUUAUGGUUUUUAUACCCUGAGUAUCCGCUCGUAUUUCCUCAUUUUGUUGUAUGGGAGAGGAGGCUUGGGGGCUGAUGUUCUUGUGCUUUGUUAGUUUUUUGGUAUGGGGGGGGUGGAGGUCAAAGUUGUCGUUGUAUUUUGUGUGGAUGGAGGUGGUUAAAGUUUUUGCAUUUGGUCGUC